GCCUUGUGCUGGAUUCUGUGGUUUGGGCGCACCAUGAAUGAAUGUGGGCCCCUUCGUAUGGAACACACAGAUUAGUAGCUGGUGUACCCAGUGUGCUUGAAGAAUCUGAAGUUGAUAACAUACACAAUAAACAGUGUUUGAGAAAGAUUAUUCCAGCAGGGUGUGUAGGAGGAAGGAAAAACCUGGGUCAGAAAGGACAGUGUGGCAGUGACUGUGGGAAUUUGGGCCAAAGGUGGAAUCUAUGGUAUUGGAAAGGAAGGCGUGAGGAAAGUAACAAUACACCUUGUAAUAAAAGCAGGAGUGGGAAGAAUUUGGUAAUAGAUGGUGAAGGAGAGAAAACAGUUAAGAAAUUUUUAAGUUAAUUUUUUUUUAGAUUUUUAUUUUUGCCUGCACUGGGUCUUCAUUGCUGAACACAGGCUUUCUCGAGAUGCAGCCAGUGGGGGCUGCUCUCUAGUUGCAGUGCACGGGUUUCUCAUUGCAGUGGCUUCUCUUGCUAUAGAGCACAUGGGCUCUGGGUGCACGGGCUUUAGUAGUUGUGGCUCAAGGGCUCUUAAGUGUGGGGUCAGCAGUUGUGGUACACAGACUUUGUUGCUCCAUUGCAUGUGGGAUCUUUCCAGACCAGGGAUCGAACUGGCAUCCCUUGGAUUGCAAGACAGAUUCGUAACCAGGUCCAUCAGGGAAGGCCCAAGAGUUAAGAAUUAAUCCUCCUUCAUGGUGAGUUUGGGCAGUAGGAAGGUUACUGCAGGCAAGGAGGAGGAGCUGGUGUGAGGGACCUGAGGGUGAGUUCCGUCCCUCCUGGGCCAUGUGAGGGCAGGUAUCCUCUAGGCGAUUGGACUUGGACACAGGGACAUCCUAAAGAGUUGUGGCUGCCUCGUAAAAGAGUGUCCUCGUCACUGUGGGUAUGCAAACAGCUUCAGAACAUUGGCCUGGGAUACUGUGGAAAGAUUUUAUCCAUCAGGUAGAAGGCUGGAGUCGACACAGUGAAAGUGGCUCCUGACUGAGGGAUUUGGUGAGCGUUGGCUGGGUAAGCACAUGUGUGGGAAGGACGCCUGUAUGUGUGGGAAGAUGGUUGGCACCCAUCGUCUCAACUUUGGCUACAAAAGGUGCCCGAGAUGCCUGGGAAGUGGGGGUUGAGGCCCAGGUGAGGCAUGUCAGCAGCCUAGGAUCCUGCCCCACCCACCCCCCGCCCCACCUUGGAAGGCCCUGGAGCCCAGGACUGUGCUGACUGCCAGGGCAUUUCCUGGAACUUGGCAGAGGAUGGAGCCCCUCCCUGCCUGCCCUGGCACACUCCAGGUACACUGUGUCCCGGGAUGUGGGGUGGGGGUGGGGGGUGGAAACCUUGCAGACACCCCAGGAGACUGGGGUGUAGGAAAGGUCCCCACCCCCCAGGAAGAGUCCUGGUUUGGGCAGACAUCUGAGCUCCCGCCCUGCGGCUGUCAUCCUCACAAUGGCCCCACCAGACCCGAGGGGACAGAGGCCCAGAGGAGGAAGGAGAAGCCUUGUGGCUGGGUGGCAGGAUUCAUCAUGACUUCAAGCCCUGUCUCUGCGUUCUACCAGCAACAGCCGAGAAUGGGCGUAUCAUCCCCCUAAGCCUCAGUUUCAUCAUCAGCAAACAGGGAGAGUAAGAAUCCCAAUGGCAUAGGCUUGCCAACUGAGGAUUGAAUGAGGUCAUCUAUGUACGGGAAAUUCCUCGCCUCUGGACCGCACCCGCCCUUGAACACCUCCCGGUCUCUUUGGGCAGAGCGCAAGCCAGACAGAGCUGGGGACAGUGAAGUGGCCAUCCUCAGCCCUGUGUGUGCCAGGAGCCCCCCUCCCGGGGGGUGGGGGGCGGGUGGCCCCGCUGCAGGAGGGCAGGGGCGGCAGAGGGAGCCUGGCGUGGGCGGCUGGGACAGAGUCCUUUUUGAAGGAGGUGGGGACCCCGUGAAGUACGUGACUUCUGACCCUUCAGCCUGCACGCUCCAGUUAGCAGGACAGAGACCCCUCCCCAUGCAUCCCCAGCCUUCCCGGGCUUUCUGCCCUGCGGGGAGGCCCUGUCACCCCGCCCCCCACAACACCCCCCCAGGCAUCCUUGAGAGGACCAGCUGGAACUGGGGGCUGGGAGCAGGCAGAGUCCUGCCAGGGGUCUCAGACCCCUAGCCUGUCUCCCCCUACCCCUCCCUCGACACAACUGCUGGUUUAAAGCAAAACCUGAUUCCGUCCUUUCUGCUGCUCGGUGGUGCUGGCACUGCUGCCUGGGGUUAUUUUUAGCAGGGAUGCGGGAACGCACAUUUCUCCCGGACUUUCACUGGGGACACCCCCACCCCGCCAGCCAAGACUCCCCCUGGGGAGGCUGUUUCGGAAACCCCCCCUCCCAGAAAGGGGAAACGGGUGUGCUUUCUGUUCCUCCAACUCACCAGAACAGGAGUUGCGGUCAAGCCUGGGGCUACCCUGGUGGGAAAUUCUAGGUUCCAAAGCCUUCAUCCCUGGUCUCUGUGUUCCCUUAAAUCUGGGGGGCCUGAUGCUCAGUGUGUGGGAGUUGGGGUCCAAGGAGAGCCAGCACUAUGGACUCCAUGGGGGCACCAGUUAUUCUGGGUGGUGUUUAUGUGGAUACUUGC
ensembl:lncRNA